GCCUGGGUAGCUCAGCGGUUAAGCGUCCGACUUUGGCUCAGGUCAUGAUCUCGCAGUUUGUGGGUUCGAGCCCCACGUCGGGCU
rnacentral:tRNA from 1 species